UUGAUUUAACAAAUUUUCAUUAAAUUAAACGAUUUAAAUUGCCAAUUUUACGUGCAGCUUGCCAAAAUUGCAAGAAUAGUGUAAAUUGUCAUGAAUUGUGAUUGUACUUAUCAUUUAUCUAAUUUUUCUUCUCUUGUUCUUAUGCUAAAUUUAGUUUAUUUUAAAUAUCGGUCCAAAGUCAUUCUCUCAAUUGAGAAUUGAAUAUUCAUCCAAUUAAUAUCUUGGUGUUUAAUGUGUCUAACCAUGAAGUCAAUCAAGCCAUUAAGUCAUUAAGUCAUACAGGAAUUCAGGAUGUACUGAGAAAUCUGUUUUUCAUUUAUUGCUAAUCUUAAAUCUUAAACCAGGUCUAGAGAUAUUUUUUGUUGAAUUUGUUUAAUCCAAUCGGUUUCUAUAAAGUUAGGGUCUGUCUUAUAUUUUAUAUUGUAGGGAUUAAUUGAUUAAAAGAUAAGUAAUCAACGUUUAAUAAGCAAAUCUAGUGUAAACAUUUUGCUCUUAUAUUCAGUGCUAAAUGUUUGUCCAGGGAAAAAUUGUUUUAUGGACUCUUUUUUGCUGUAUUAAUCUAUGUUAGUUAAUAGUAGGUCUACCUAAACAAUCUCUUUAAUUAGCAAUUAUUAUAUGGUGAUAAUGGAAUAUCAAUUCAACAUAAUUUUAUUUCCAUGAUAAAUUAGCUUAUUACAAAUAAAUUUGAUCACCAAGCUUGAGUGUAAUUUAUGUUUAUUAACCGUGAUAAUUUGCGUUCAAGUGUUCAUGUAAACAUGUGGUUGUACUGAGAUUCUAUGAAAUGUCUCUAGUACUUGGAUACUUUUACGGAUCUUAAGCUCUGGUUUUAAUUGUAUCUCCAUGUCACAAACAAUACAUUGACGCGUUUUUCACCGUAAAGUUAUCAGCUUUUCAAAACGGUUCAGCCUUUAAGGUAGGAGUCCAAUGUUUUUGCUGGCUUUUACCGUCCGUUAUCAAUUAAUCCAAAAACAAUUAGGUGGAAAAUCUUGGGUGGCAAAGUUAGGUGAAAUUGGAUAAAAUGUUUUAAUAGUCUAUUUGCACCGAAAUAGUUAACUUUCGUGAUUUACAAUCAAGGGAUCAGGGUGAGGUAGUUUUUUGUAAUGAAUAUGAAAGUGAUGAGAAAAUAGAGAGAAAUGGGUUGACAUCAAUCAAUUUUUGGGUAGCAUUUCAACGAGUUGAAAUGGACGAAAUAAUACAAUCACAAUGAGGUUCAAACAACAAACUUGAUCAUAGAAUUGAAUAAGAACAAUUAAUAAAACAAUACAAUUCUAUGGAUGA